ACACAUGCAGGUGAGCGCGCCUUCGGGUGAGCGGCGGACGUGUUAGUAACGCGUGGGAACGUGCCCUUCUCUACGGAAUAGCCUCUGGAAACGGAGAGUAAUACCGUAUACGCCCUUUGGGGGAAAGAUUAUCGGAGAAGGAUCGGCCCGCGUUAGAUUAGGUAGUUGGUGGGGUAACGGCCUACCAAGCCUACGAUCUAUAGCUGGUUUUAGAGGAUGAUCAGCAACACUGGGACUGAGACACGGCCCAGACUCCUACGGGAGGCAGCAGUGGGGAAUCUUAGACAAUGGGGGCAACCCUGAUCUAGCCAUGCCGCGUGAGUGAUGAAGGCCUUAGGGUCGUAAAGCUCUUUCGCCUGUGAUGAUAAUGACAGUAGCAGGUAAAGAAACCCCGGCUAACUCCGUGCCAGCAGCCGCGGUAAUACGGAGGGGGUUAGCGUUGUUCGGAAUUACUGGGCGUAAAGCGCGCGUAGGCGGAUUAGAAAGUUGGGGGUGAAAUCCCGGGGCUCAACCCCGGAACUGCCUCCAAAACUGCUAGUCUAGAGUUCGAGAGAGGUGAGUGGAAUUCCGAGUGUAGAGGUGAAAUUCGUAGAUAUUCGGAGGAACACCAGUGGCGAAGGCGGCUCACUGGCUCGAUACUGACGCUGAGGUGCGAAAGUGUGGGGAGCAAACAGGAUUAGAUACCCUGGUAGUCCACACCGUAAACGAUGAAUGCCAGU
rnacentral:rRNA from 1 species